rnacentral:rRNA from 1 species
UACAGAGGGGGCGAGCGUCGUUCGGAAUUACUGGGCGUAAAGGGUGUGUAGACGGCACAUUAAGUCAAUUGUUAAAUCCUCUGGCCUAACCGGAGACAUGCAAUAGAUACUGAUGAGCUAGAGGUUGGAAGAGAGAAGUGGAAUUCUCGGAGUAGCGGUAAAAUGCGUGGAUCUCGAGAGGAACACCAAUGGCGAAGGCAGCUUCUUGGUCCAUACCUGACGUUGAGACACGAAAGUGUGGGGAGCAAACAGG